GACGACGCUGGCGGCGUGGAUUAGGCAUGCAAGUCGAACGGUAUCAUCCUUUCGGGGGUGAGAGAGUGGCGAACUGGUGAGUAACACGUAGGUUAUCUACCCUCAAGACGGGGACAACCCAGGGAAACUUGGGCUAAUACCGGAUGUGAGCAACUUUUAGUUGUUUGAAAGGUGGCGUAAGCUGUCGCUUGGGGAUGAGCCUGCGUCCUAUUAGUUAGUUGGUGAGGUAACGGCUCACCUAGGCAAUGAUAGGUAGGCGGCCUUAAUGGGUGGUCGCCCACACUGGGAUUGAGAUACGGCCCAGACUCCUACGGGAGGCAGCAGUCGAGAAUAGUCUACAAUGGUCGGAAGACUGAUAGUGCGACGCCGCGUGAACGAUGAAUCCCUUCGGGGUGUAAAGUUCUUUUAUAUGUGAGCAGUGCUUCUUAUAUUAACAGUAUGGGGAGAGAGAUAUUAGCAUAUGAAUAAGCAACGGCUAACUCCGUG
rnacentral:rRNA from 1 species